CUGGCCGUAAACGAUGGAUACUAGGUGUUAGAGGUAUCGACCCCUCUAGUGCCGCAGCUAACGCAUUAAGUAUCCCGCCUGGGGAGUACGACCGCAAGGUUGAAACUCAAAGGAAUUGACGGGGGCCCGCACAAGCGGUGGAGCAUGUGGUUUAAUACGUCACUAACCGUAGAACCUUACCCAGACUUGACAUCCGUUGUAAGUCCGUGAAAGCGGUACCCUCCUAUGGUAACAUAGGACAGCGAGACAGGUGU
rnacentral:rRNA from 1 species